GGCCCCAUCGUAUAGCCUGGUUUAGUACACUGGCUUUUCAAGCCAAGAACACCGGUUCAAAUCCGGUUGGGGCCACCA
rnacentral:tRNA from 13 species